rnacentral:rRNA from 1 species
UGGGGAAUAUUGCACAAUGGGGGAAACCCUGAUGCAGCGACGCCGCGUGAACGAAGAAGGUAUUCGUAUCGUAAAGUUCUGUCCUAUGGGAAGAUAAUGACAGUACCAUAGAAGAAAGCUCCGGCUAAAUACGUGCCAGCAGCCGCGGUAAUACGUAUGGAGCGAGCGUUGUCCGGAAUUAUUGGGCGUAAAGGGUACGCAGGCGGUUUAAUAAGUCGAAUGUUAAAGAUCGCGGCUCAACCCCGCAAAGCAUUGGAAACUGAUAAACUUGAGUAGUGGAGAGGAAAGUGGAAUUCCUAGUGUAGUGGUGAAAUACGUAGAUAUUAGGAGGAAUACCAGUAGCGAAGGCGACUUUCUGGACACAAACUGACGCUGAGGUACGAAAGCGUGGGGAGCAAACAGG